rnacentral:rRNA from 1 species
CGCCUUACAGCUAGCCUACUAAAACAACUUCAACAACCCCUUGUUAAUAACCCCUAAGUACCCAAGUAUUUAUAUUAAACAAACCAUUUUUCCCCCUUAGUAUAGGCGAUAGAAAAGGGCCCCAGCGCUAUAGAGAAAGUACCGCAAGGGAAUGCUGAAAGAGAAAUGAAAUAACCCAGUAAAGCCUAAAAAAGCAGAGAUUUAAGCUCGUACCUUUUGCAUCAUGAUUUAGCAAGUGUAACCCAAGCAAAGAGUGCUUUAGUUUGACGCCCCGAAACUAGGUGAGCUACUCCAAGACAGCCUAAAUUAUAGGGCCUACCCGUCUCUGUGGCAAAAGAGUGGGGAGAGCUUUGAGUAGAGGUGAUAAACCUACCGAACCUAGUUAUAGCUGGUUGUCCAAAAAAUGAAUAGAAGUUCAGCCUCUAGGCUUCUCCCUUCACCUUAGUUUUACCCCUAUUGAUGAGUUAAGAAACCCAGAGAGUUAGUCAAAGGGGGUACAGCCCCUUUGAAUCAAGACACAACUUUUUCAGGAGGGUAAAGAUCAUA